AGGUUAGUCAGGACACGAGAGAAGAGGCUCCCAUGUCAAUCAGUGUGAAGUUAGGGGAUAUCCACAAUAUAUUUCACCGAAUUGUAACUGCUGCUGAGCACCCUCAUUUAAGUAUUGCAAAAAUUGAAGCUGGAAUAACCCGCAAGCUGUACCACAAACUCAUAGAUCGAUCUCUUAUGCUUGUUUCAGUUGUACUUGGAGCGGCCGUGGUGGUUGGGGUGGGUGCUGCAAGGAAGAAUGUGUCAUGAUCUGCAUGCAGGCUGCUCUUGGCUAACCUACACUAACUUUAUAGAUUCUUUUUUUUUUUUUAAUAUCUAACUUUAUAAAUUCUAGUUAUAUAUUUUAUUUUAAUAUUUAUUUUGGUAGCUUGUUAUAGUUCACAUAACACUGUUUUUCUGUAUAUCAGUAUCACCGUAGUGGUUGUAUAUAUAAAUCAUAGGGAAAUGGUCUGGUUGGAUAAACAA